rnacentral:rRNA from 1 species
UACGUAGGGUGCGAGCGUUGUCCGGAUUUAUUGGGCGUAAAGAGCUCGUAGGCGGUUCGUCGCGUCGGCUGUGAAAUCCCGAGGCUCAACCUCGGGUCUGCAGUCGAUACGGGCGGACUGGAGUUCGGCAGGGGAGACUGGAAUUCCUGGUGUAGCGGUGAAAUGCGCAGAUAUCAGGAGGAACACCGGUGGCGAAGGCGGGUCUCUGGGCCGAUACUGACGCUGAGGAGCGAAAGCAUGGGUAGCGAACAGG